rnacentral:rRNA from 1 species
GUAGAGCACUGUUUCGGCUAGGGGGUCAUCCCGACUUACCAAACCGAUGCAAACUCCGAAUACCUAUGAGUACUAUCCGGGAGACAGACUGCGGGUGCUAACGUCCGUAGUCAAGAGGAAAACAAUCCAGACCGCCAGCUAAGGCCCCAAAAUCAUAGUUAAGUGGGAAACGAUGUGGGAAGGCAUAGACAGCUAGGAGGUUGGCUUAGAAGCAGCCACCCUUUAAAGAAAGCGUAAUAGCUCACUAGUCGAGUCGGCCUGCGCGGAAGAUGUAACGGGGCUAAAACUAUGUGCCGAAGCUGCGGAUGUAUACUUUGUAUACGUGGUAGGGGAGCGUUCUGUAAGCCGAUGAAGGUGUGUUGAGAAGCAUGCUGGAGGUAUCAGAAGUGCGAAUGCUGACGUGAGUAACGACAAAACGGGUGAAAAACCCGUUCGCCGAAAGACCAAGGGUUCCAGUCCAACGUUAAUCGGGGCUGGGUGAGUCGACCCCUAAGGCGAGGCCGAAAGGCGUAGUCGAUGGGAAAAUGGUUAAUAUUCCAUUACUUCUGUGUAAUGCGAUGAGAGGACGGAGAAGGCUAAAUCAGCCUGGCGUUGGUUGUCCAGGUGAAAGGAUGUAGGCAUGUAUCUUAGGCAAAUCCGGGGUACUCUAUGCUGAGAUCUGAUAGCAAGCUGUACUUGUACAGCGAAGUGGUUGAUGCCAUGCUUCCAGGAAAAGUCUCUAAGCUUCAGUUACACAGGAAUCGUACCCGAAACCGACACAGGUGGUCAGGUCGAGUAGACCAAGGCGCUUGAGAGAACUCUGCUGAAGGAACUAGGCAAAAUGGUACCGUAACUUCGGGAGAAGGUACGCUGUUGUUGGUGAUGGAACUCGCUUCCUGAGCUGACGACAGCCGCAGAAACCAGGCCGCUGCAACUGUUUAUUAAAAACAUAGCACUCUGCAAACACGAAAGUGGACGUAUAGGGUGUGAUGCCUGCCCGGUGCUGGAAGGUUAAUUGAUGGGGUUAGCGUAAGCGAAGCUCUUGAUCGAAGCCCCAGUAAACGGCGGCCGUAACUAUAACGGUCCUAAGGUAGCGAAAUUCCUUGUCGGGUAAGUUCCGACCUGCACGAAUGGCAUAAUGAUGGCGGCGCUGUCUCCAGCAGAGGCUCAGUGAAAUCGAAAUCGCUGUGAAGAUGCAGUGUACCCGCGGCUAGACGGAAAGACCCCGUGAACCUUUACUGCAGCUUGACACUGAACUUUGACCUUACUUGUGUAGGAUAGGUGGGAGGCUUUGAAGCUGGAACGCUAGUUCCAGUGGAGCCGUCCUUGAAAUACCACCCUGGUAAUGUUGAGGUUCUAACUCUGUCCCGUGAUCCGGGACGAGGACCGUGUCUGGUGGGUAGUUUGACUGGGGCGGUCUCCUCCUAAAGAGUAACGGAGGAGUACGAAGGUGCGCUCAGCGUGGUCGGAAAUCACGCGUAGAGUAUAAAGGCAAAAGCGCGCUUAACUGCGAGACCCACAAGUCGAGCAGGUACGAAAGUAGGUCUUAGUGAUCCGGUGGUUCUGUAUGGAAGGGCCAUCGCUCAACGGAUAAAAGGUACUCUGGGGAUAACAGGCUGAUACCGCCCAAGAGUUCAUAUCGACGGCGGUGUUUGGCACCUCGAUGUCGGCUCAUCUCAUCCUGGGGCUGAAGCAGGUCCCAAGGGUAUGGCUGUUCGCCAUUUAAAGAGGUACGCGAGCUGGGUUUAGAACGUCGUGAGACAGUUCGGUCCCUAUCUACCGUGGGCGCUGGAAAUUUGAGAGGAUCUGCUCCUAGUACGAGAGGACCAGAGUGGACGAACCUCUGGUGUACCGGUUGUGACGCCAGUCGCAUCGCCGGGUAGCUAUGUUCGGAAGGGAUAACCGCUGAAAGCAUCUAAGCGGGAAGCCUACCUCAAGAUAAGAUUUCCCUAGGACUUUAUGUCCUCUAAAGAGCCGUUCGAGACUAGGACGUUGAUAGGUUGGAUGUGGAAGCAUAGUGAUAUGUGAAGCUGACCAAUACUAAUUGCUCGUGAGGCUUGACUA